UACGUAGGUGGCGAGCGUUGUCCGGAUUUACUGGGCGUAAAGGGAGCGUAGGCGGGCUUUUAAGUGAGAUGUGAAAUACUCGGGCUCAACUUGAGUGCUGCAUUUCAAACUGGAAGUCUAGAGUGCAGGAGAGGAGAAUGGAAUUCCUAGUGUAGCGGUGAAAUGCGUAGAGAUUAGGAAGAACACCAGUGGCGAAGGCGAUUCUCUGGACUGUAACUGACGCUGAGGUUCGAAAGCGUGGGGAGCAAAUAGG
rnacentral:rRNA from 1 species